CCUCAAUCUUUACAGGAACACGUAAGAAAUCAAGGGAUAAUUUAUAAUCUGAACAAAUAUUAUCAACAAAGGUAGAAGAAAACUUGUUGUAGCUCAAGCUUUGCACAAAAUACCCAGAUAUGGUUUUGGUUCUCUGGCAAUGGAGAUUCAUGAAAGCUGACUGAUAAGUGAGACUAUUAACUUCCUUGGAAAGAAGCCUGCAUUUAGCUAGAGUUUUCAAGGAUGAAC
rnacentral:misc_RNA from 1 species